UAAUACGUAGGGUGCGAGCGUUAAUCGGAAUUACUGGGCGUAAAGCGUGCGCAGGCGGUUGUGUAAGACAGGCGUGAAAUCCCCGGGCUCAACCUGGGAACUGCGUUUGUGACUGCACAGCUAGAGUAUGGCAGAGGGGGGUGGAAUUCCACGUGUAGCAGUGAAAUGCGUAGAGAUGUGGAGGAACACCGAUGGCGAAGGCAGCCCCCUGGGCCAAUACUGACGCUCAUGCACGAAAGCGUGGGUAGCAAACAGGAUUAGAUACCCUGGUAGUCCACGCCCUAAACGAUGUCAACUAGGUGUUGGGAGGGUAAAACCUUUUAGUACCGGAGCUAACGCGUGAAGUUGACCGCCUGGGGAGUACGGCCGCAAGGUUAAAACUCAAAUGAAUUGACGG
rnacentral:rRNA from 1 species